UACGAAGGGGGCUAGCGUUGCUCGGAAUCACUGGGCGUAAAGCGCACGUAGGCGGCUUGUUAAGUCAGGGGUGAAAUCCUGGAGCUCAACUCCAGAACUGCCUUUGAUACUGGCAAGCUUGGAGUCCGGAAGAGGAGAGUGGAAUUCCUGGUGUAGCGGUGAAAUGCGCAGAUAUCAGGAAGAACACCUAUGGCGAAGGCAGCUCUCUGGGACGGUACUGACGCUGAGACGCGAAAGCGUGGGGAGCGAACAGG
rnacentral:rRNA from 1 species